rfam:Triticum aestivum genome assembly, contig: Triticum_aestivum_CS42_TGACv1_scaffold_448889_5DL
UAUGGACUCGCUCCGUUCAGAAUUACUUGUCUCGGAAAUGGAUGUAUCUAGAACUAAAAUACAUCUAGAUACAUCCAUUUCUGCGGCAAGUAAUUCCGAACAGAGGGAGUACAUC